UGGGGAAUUUUGCACAAUGGGGGAAACCCUGAUGCAGCGACGCCGCGUGAUUUAGAAGGCCUUCGGGUUGUAAAAAUCUUUUCUAUGGGAAGAAAAUGACAGUACCAUAGGAAUAAGGACCGGCUAAUUACGUGCCAGCAGCCGCGGUAAUACGUAAGGUCCGAGCGUUGGCCGGAAUCAUUGGGCGUAAAGGGUACGUAGGCGGGUAAGCAAGUUAGAAGUGAAAUCCUAUAGCUCAACUAUAGUAAGCUUUUAAAACUGCUCAUCUUGAGGUAUGGAAGGGAAAGUGGAAUUCCUAGUGUAGCGGUGAAAUGCGCAGAUAUUAGGAGGAAUCCCGGUGGCGAAGGCGACUUUCUGGCCAUAACCUGACGCUGAGGUACGAAAGCGUGGGUAGCAAACAGG
rnacentral:rRNA from 1 species